rnacentral:rRNA from 1 species
UACGUAGGGUGCAAGCGUUAAUCGGAAUUACUGGGCGUAAAGGGUGCGCAGGCGGUUCUGUAAGUCAGAUGUGAAAUCCCCGGGCUUAACCUGGGAAUUGCGUUUGAAACUACAGAGCUGGAGUGUGGCAGAGGGGGGUGGAAUUCCAUGUGUAGCAGUGAAAUGCGUAGAGAUAUGGAAGAACAUCGAUGGCGAAGGCAACCCCCUGGGUUAACACUGACGCUCAUGCACGAAAGCGUGGGGAGCAAACAGG